UACAGAGGAUGCAAGCGUUAUCCGGAAUGAUUGGGCGUAAAGCGUCUGUAGGUGGCUUUUUAAGUCCGCCGUCAAAUCCCAGGGCUCAACCCUGGACAGGCGGUGGAAACUACCAAGCUGGAGUACGGUAGGGGCAGAGGGAAUUUCCGGUGGAGCGGUGAAAUGCGUAGAUAUGCGGAGGAACACCGAUGGCGAAGGCAAUCCCCUGGGCCUGCACUGACGCUCAUGCACGAAAGCGUGGGGAGCAAACAGG
rnacentral:rRNA from 1 species